rnacentral:rRNA from 1 species
UACGUAGGGUGCAAGCGUUAAUCGGAAUUACUGGGCGUAAAGCGUGCGCAGGCGGUUUUGUAAGUCUGAUGUGAAAUCCCCGGGCUCACCUGGGAAUUGCAUUGGAGACUGCAAGGCUAGAAUCUGGCAGAGGGGGGUAGAAUUCCACGUGUAGCAGUGAAAUGCGUAGAGAUGUGGAGGAACACCGAUGGCGAAGGCAGCCCCCUGGGUCAAGAUUGACGCUCAUGCACGAAAGCGUGGGGAGCAAACAGG